CUCCUACGGGAGGCAGCAGUGAGGAAUAUUGGUCAAUGGGCGCUAGCGUGAACCAGCCAAGUAGCGUGAAGGAUGAAGGCUCUAUGGGUCGUAAACUUCUUUUAUAUAAGAAUAAAGUGCAGUAUGUAUACUGUUUUGUAUGUAUUAUAUGAAUAAGGAUCGGCUAACUCCGUGCCAGCAGCCGCGGUAAUACGGAGGAUCCGAGCGUUAUCCGGAUUUAUUGGGUUUAAAGGGAGCGUAGGUGGACUGGUAAGUCAGUUGUGAAAGUUUGCGGCUCAACCGUAAAAUUGCAGUUGAUACUGUCAGUCUUGAGUACAGUAGAGGUGGGCGGAAUUCGUGGUGUAGCGGUGAAAUGCUUAGAUAUCACGAAGAACUCCGAUUGCGAAGGCAGCUCACUGGACUGCAACUGACACUGAUGCUCGAAAGUGUGGGUAUCAAACAGGAUUAGAUACCCUGGUAGUCCACACAGUAAACGAUGAAUACUCGCUGUUUGCGAUAUACAGUAAGCGGCCAAGCGAAAGCAUUAAGUAUUCCACCUGGGGAGUACGCCGGCAACGGUGAAACUCAAAGGAAUUGACGGGGGCCCGCACAAGCGGAGGAACAUGUGGUUUAAUUCGAUGAUACGCGAGGAACCUUACCCGGGCUUAAAUUGCAGUGGAAUGAUGUGGAAACAUGUCAGUGAGCAAUCACCGCUGUGAAGGUGCUGCAUGGUUGUCGUCAGCUCGUGCCGUGAGGUGUCGGCUUAAGUGCCAUAACGAGCGCAACCCUUAUCUUUAGUUACUAACAGGUUAUGCUGAGGACUCUAGAGAGACUGCCGUCGUAAGAUGUGAGGAAGGUGGGGAUGACGUCAAAUCAGCACGGCCCUUACGUCCGGGGCUACACACGUGUUACAAUGGGGGGUACAGAAGGCAGCUAGCGGGUGACCGUAUGCUAAUCCCAAAAGCCUCUCUCAGUUCGGAUCGAAGUCUGCAACCCGACUUCGUGAAGCUGGAUUCGCUAGUAAUCGCGCAUCAGCCACGGCGCGGUGAAUACGUUCCCGGGCCUUGUACACACCGC
rnacentral:rRNA from 1 species